AUACGGAGGGGGCUAGCGUUGUUCGGAUUUACUGGGCGUAAAGCGCGCGUAGGCGGUUUGGUCAGUCGGAUGUGAAAGCCCUGGGCUCAACCUGGGAAUGGCAUUCGAUACUGCCUGACUGGAGUAUGGUAGAGGGAAGUGGAAUUUCCGGUGUAGCGGUGAAAUGCGUAGAUAUCGGAAGGAACACCAGUGGCGAAGGCGACUUCCUGGGCCAAUACUGACGCUGAGGUGCGAAAGCGUGGGGAGCAAACAGGAUUAGAAACCCCGGUAGUCC
rnacentral:rRNA from 1 species